CCCCACUUUAUUGAUGAUUUGGCGCAUUUUUACAUAUGUGGCAUUAGCUAACUGUGUCACUUUGUCCACUUGGCAUCCACGUGACAUUUAUUUCAAUUAACUAAUUUAAUAAACAUUUUUAAAAAACAGAAAAAGUAGUUUUGCAAUUAAAAAAAACAAUGAAAUUUUAAUUAAUUAAAAAACAAUAAAACUGAAGACAUGGGGAAAAAAUCUUACGGUUCCCCAUUUUCCCCCUUUCCUUCCCUAUUUCUUCUUCAAUGGAACUCAUUCUUCCUCUGAUCCUCCAUCACCAUUCUUCUUCCUGUGUGUCAAUCAUUGAAAGAUGGUAAAUUUUAUUCCCAUCUUGGAUUUGCAGGAAUAAGUUUAGAAUCAUUGAAACAAAACCCCUCUCAUAAUAUCUAGGUUUACUCCGGCGGCGGGCAUGGACGGAACCAGAUUUGGGUUUGACGUCGCCUCAAUCCACCAUCUUGUCUCGCCACCUUCGAUGAACACAGGAAGCUGCCCACGACUCCGGCGACGGUCGCAUCUUCCUCUUCCCCUGGCGACGCUAUUCAUAGAAGCUAAAAACUGCGGUGGUGGUUAUUAAAGAUGAAAAGAGCAAAGAUUGGUUCACAGAUUUGUUUAUGGUUAUGUAAUGCAAAUGUUUCUGUGGGUGGGAUUCAUCUUUUCUUAGUGUGUUUUUUGAGAAGAUGAAUGUAUGUGUGAAGGGUUGUAGAUGCAGACCUGAGAAUUGGAAUUUGGGAGAGAGGAGGAUGAAUUUUUUGUUCUGCAAAUUCUGGGCAACAAAGAUAUGAAUGAAUGUUAAUUAAUAAACUGUUUUUCUUUUAAGGAUUAAAUUUCAUUGUUUUAUUUUAUUUGCAAAAAUAUUUUUUCCUGUUUUUUAAAAAUGUUUAUUAAAACAAUUAAUUGAAAUAAGGCAAAUUCUAU
rnacentral:lncRNA from 1 species